rnacentral:rRNA from 12 species
GGUAGUCCACGCCGUAAACGAUGAGUGCUAGUUGUCGGGACUUCGGUUUCGGUGACGCAGCUAACGCAUUAAGCACUCCGCCUGGGGAGUACGGUCGCAAGAUUAAAACUCAAAGGAAUUGACGGGGGCCCGCACAAGCGGUGGAGCAUGUGGCUUAAUUCGAUGCAACGCGAGGAACCUUACCUGGGCUAAAU